rnacentral:snoRNA from 1 species
CCUCCCUCAGGGUCACACCUGGAGAGUUUCCAGUAUUCUACCAGUCUCGACUAUGAGAGGGAGAGUCAAGCAGAAGCACAGGCAUUCCAUUCCUAGCUUGGGCAGUGGCUAGUGAGUGGAAGGCAAUCUGCUACAAGU